GACGAACGCUGGCGGCGUGCUUAACACAUGCAAGUCGAACGGAAAGGCCCUGCUUUUGUGGGGUGCUCGAGUGGCGAACGGGUGAGUAACACGUGAGUAACCUGCCCUUGACUUUGGGAUAACUUCAGGAAACUGGGGCUAAUACCGGAUAGGAGCUCCUGCUGCAUGGUGGGGGUUGGAAAGUUUCGGCGGUUGGGGAUGGACUCGCGGCUUAUCAGCUUGUUGGUGGGGUAGUGGCUUACCAAGGCUUUGACGGGUAGCCGGCCUGAGAGGGUGACCGGCCACAUUGGGACUGAGAUACGGCCCAGACUCCUACGGGAGGCAGCAGUGGGGAAUAUUGCACAAUGGGCGGAAGCCUGAUGCAGCAACGCCGCGGGCGGGAGGACGGCCUUCGGGUUGUAAACCGCUUUCGCCUGUGACGAAGCGUGAGUGACGGUAAGGGGUAAAGAAGCACCGGCUAACUACGUGC
rnacentral:rRNA from 1 species